GCUUCUCGCUGGAGUGCGCACCGAGCGGCAGUGACUUCGCCGCUGCUGUAGUUCCCCGGCUGGAUGCGGUGACUGGUGCCAGUGCUCAGGCGCCCGCUGCCCUUGACCUCCCGCCCCGCGAGCCCUAACUCAGCGCAGGAGGACCGGCUGCCGCCGCCGCCGCCGCCAGGAGGUAGAUUGGGAAGUGGAGCUGGCCGUGGUCAUUGGAAAGAAAGGCAAGCACAUCAAGGUGAAGUGGAAAAGGUGUUGGUGUCACCCAUGAUCUAUCCUCCUGUAUGGCCAAAUCCCCUGCCCCCAUAGGCCACAGAUGCCAUGGCCCACGUGGCCGGCUUCACUGUGGCUCAUGACGUGAGUGCUCGUGACUGGCUAACAAGAUGCAAUGGGAAACAGUGGCUGCUGGGAAAAACCUUCGACACCUUCUGCCCUCUGGGCCCUGCCUUGGUGACCAAGGACAGUGUAGCAGAUCCACACAACUUAAAGAUCUGCUGUCGAGUGAAUGGGGAAGUGGUCCAGAGCAGCAACACCAACCAGAUGGUAUUCAAGACAGAGGACCUGAUAGCCUGGGUGUCCCAGUUUGUUACCUUUUACCCAGGGGAUGUCAUCCUGACUGGGACCCCCCCACCUCCACCCAGGUGUCGGUGUAUUCAGGAAACCUCCUGUCUUUCUCAAGAAGGGGGAUGAAGUCCAGUGUGAGAUUGAAGAACUAGGUGUCAUCAUCAACAAGGUGGUGUGAUGGCUCCUGCACAGGCCCUGCACAUAGGAUGAGGGCAUCUGCUCCCACUCAGCCUAGCCCAGGGAAAGGCCCAGUGACAGGUGUGGACAGGUGCCAGCCCUGCAAGCCGCCUCUUCUCGGUAGAAGGGAGAAGGACAGAGCUCUCUUCAAUAAAUUCGUCGGGUCAAAGCA
rnacentral:lncRNA from 1 species